AUGUUUUCAUCUAAUGUUGCGCUCGCAAUCAAGGAGAAGAACUGCCCGUCAAAGAUCGCCAUGGUUGGAGAGUGGCAACCACAAAACGGCCAAGUGCGCGAUGAGAUCGACCCCAGCAUCCCAACUGAUGACAAAGACUUCAUCUCGAGCAAUACGGGCACGACUGAUGAUGAUAAAGAUGUUGCUACCGCGGAUGAAGAUACUACUGGUGCCGGGAGUGCUAGUAACAUGAGGAAGAGGGGCAGGCAUGCAAAUCACCAAAUUCGGGAACUUGAAACUAUGUUCCAGCAAUGUCCCCACCCCGAUGAGAAUCUACGUAUCGCCCUCAGCAAGAGGGUGGGCAUGGAUCCUCUUCGGGUCAAGUUCUGGUUCCAGAAUCGACGCAAUGCAAAGAAGAACCAGAAUGAGCGUCAACAGAACAUGGUGCUCCGGACGGAGAACGUUAUGCUAGCAGAAGAGAAUCGAGCCAUGAAGGCGGCGAUGCUGAAGAAGACCUGCCCCACAUGCAAAGGCCCGAUGGUGUUCAUUAAGCCGCUGACCCCGCCGGAGCUGCGGCGCCUACACAUGGAGAACGAGAGGCUCAAGGCCGAACUCCUCCGCAGGACGGCCUACCUCCACGGUGUCUCUGCUGGAACUGCAGGCUCGUCACGGAUCCUCUGCGAUCUCAACGUCGACCCCGUCGUGCCGCCGCCGCCACGCCAGGACGACCUCAUGGCGGACACCAUGGGUCACUGUGCUCCCGGCGGCUGCGCAUCAUCCACAGCCGGCGGCGCGGAGCACGCCGCGCUCGAGAGGCACGUCCUCGCUGCACUCAACGAGCUCAUGAUGCUGAUGAAGCAGGGCGAGCCAAUGUGGCAGCCGGCGGCCCUGGGCGGCGAGGUGCUCGACCACCAGCUGUAUCGCGCGACCACGCUCCCGGGCUUACUCGAGCUUCCCCCGCCGGGGUUCACGGCGAAUGGCACUCGGGACACUGGCAUGGUUAUGUGCACUGGAGCCGACCUUGUCCGCAUCUUCAUGGACGAGAACUGUUGGCUUGAAACGUUUCCCGAUAUCGUGUCAAGUGUUUCCGCCAGCGACAUCGGCCACGGUUGUAUCUGCCAAGGGGGAGUGAUACUGAUGAAUGCAGGCCUUAGGGUGCUGUCGCCAGGGGUGUCGAGUUGCAAUGCGAAGUUCCUGAGGCAAUGCCAGAUGAUAGAGCAAGGCGUUUGGGCCGUGGUGGACGUGUCUCUUGAUGCCCAUGGCACAUCUGAGCUCAGAGCAUGGAACACUGGCCUGCCGGGGGCCUGCCGGGUGCUGCCCAGUGGGUGUCUUAUCAAGGACAUGAACAAUGGCUACUGCAAGGUGGCAAUGAUCGUGAACGCGGAGUAUGACAAGGGCUUCAUGCCGCCGCUCCUCCACCUGCUGUUGAGCUCAGGGCACACCUUCAGCGCACGUCGCUGGCUGACAUCGCUCCAGAGGAGGUGCGAAUUCCUUGCGCAGCGCUUGAGCCCCGCCUAUGGCAUCAGCAGGGCAGGUGGUGCAAUAACGCCCGAGGGGCGGAACAACGCCCUGGAGCUGGCACGGAGGAUGACGGAGAGCUUCUACGUGGCCAUCUCUGCGCCCAGGGGCGAGGCGUGGCGCAAGGUCGCCGACUGGCGCGGCCGCGAGUCCUUCCAGCUGGCCAUGCACGUGUUGACUCCCCUCGCUGCACCGGGAGAGCAGGCGGCCGGGCCCGUGCUGUGCGCUACCACGACGGUGUGGCUCCCCGAGAUACCGCCGCAGCGCGUGUUCGACUACAUCUGCGACGGGGAGCGCCGUGGCGAGUGGGACGUGCUUGCCGAGGGCGCACGCGUGCAGGAGGAAGCUUCCCUUGCCACGGCCCAGUUCCCUCUCAGCGGCGUCUCCGUCCUUCGCCCCACUGCAAUGGUUUGCAUCCUAGCUUCAAACAUUCUUAUCGCUACUUCGGUCCGCAUUGUGGUCGAACCAAUGUGGAUAUCUAACGGUUGGCCAUUUUUCUUCGAAUUGCCGCAGGCUCGUGGUCGUGGUAGAAGCAGCUGCAACAAGAAGCUCAUCCUGCAGCAGGCUUGCAGCGACGCGCCGUGCAUGGUGGUGGCGUACGCUCCGAUUGACGCGGGAGAGCUCAAGGACGUGAUGCAUGGGGGCAGCCGUGCCUCUCUCUCCCUGCUGCCCUCCGGGUUCGCCAUCCUUCCUGACGGCGUCGGCGACAUGCAGAAUGAUCCGCUUGAUGCCAACCCCUCUGGUGUCGACCCCAUGGACCACCAGAGGAGCCGCGGAUCUCUCGUCUCUGUCCUGUGGCAGACACCCCUGGUUGGAGGGAACCUCACCGCACAGACCGUCGACAACGUCGGGAAUAAUGUCUCCGGUUCCAUCAUGAAGAUCAGGGCUGCUCUCCAUGCCAAGAGGGUUAUGACCGUCUGA
rnacentral:rRNA from 1 species